UGGGUAACCUGCCCGGAAGUGGGGAAUACCUCGGGGAAACUCGAGCUAAUACCGCAUGACAUCUUCGGGACGAAAGUCCUGGUGAUCAAAGCGGGGUCGCAAGAUCUCGCGCUACCGGAUGGGCCCGCGCCCGAUUAGCUAGUUGGUGAGGUAACGGCUUACCAAGGCUUCGAUCGGUAACCGGCCUGAGAGGGCGAUCGGUCACACCGGAACUGAGACACGGUCCGGACUCCUACGGGAGGCAG
rnacentral:rRNA from 1 species